rnacentral:rRNA from 1 species
CGGCGGUAAUGGCGAAGGGGUCACACCUGUUCCCAUACCGAACACAGUAGUUAAGCCCUUCAGCGCUGAUGGUACUUGGCUGGCAACGGCCUGGGAGAGUAGGACACUGCCG